UACGGAGGGUGCAAGCGUUAUCCGGAUUCACUGGGUUUAAAGGGUGCGUAGGUGGGCUGGUAAGUCAGUGGUGAAAUCUCCAGGCUUAACUUGGAAACUGCCAUUGAUACUAUCAGUCUUGAAUACCGUGGAGGUCAGCGGAAUAUGUCAUGUAGCGGUGAAAUGCUUAGAUAUGACAUAGAACACCAAUUGCGAAGGCAGCUGGCUACACGAAUAUUGACACUGAUGCACGAAAGCGUGGGGACCAAACAGG
rnacentral:rRNA from 1 species